rnacentral:rRNA from 1 species
CAAGGCUAAAACUCAAAGAAAUUGACGGGGGCCCGCACAAGCGGCGGAGCAUGCGGAUUAAUUCGAUGCAACGCGAAGAACCUUACCUGGGCUUGACAUGUUCCCGACGACAUCAGAGAUGGUGUUUCCCUUCGGGGCGGGUUCACAGGUGGUGCAUGGUCGUCGUCAGCUCGUGUCGUGAGAUGUUGGGUUAAGUCCCGCAACGAGCGCAACCCUCGCCCCGUGUUGCCA